GGUGGAGAAAAAAAAAUCCUUUUCUUUCCUUUCCCUUCCCACCCAGGCAACGCGACCUUCCUCCCUCUCGUUGCCUCUCCUCCCCAUCUUCUCCGCCGCCGCCCCUUGGCAGCAAGACCGCAAAGGCGCGGUGGGCGGUGCCCCUCCCCUGCUGAUCCGCCGGUCGGGUUCUCGGGCAAGGGGGGUAUGGUCGGUAGCAGCGCCAGGGUCGGCUGGUCGUCGGGCGGCAAGGGCGUCGCCAAGCAGUACUACCUCCAGGGCAGGAACCCAGAGGCCGUGCCCCCGGACGACGGCCGCCUCACCAGAGGAAGCUACUGGAGGAGGCCGACGAGGGCACCUUGGCCCCAUCUUUGCAGCAGCGGCCCAGCGCGGCAGCUCCAGCUGCAGAUCGUCGGCCCGGCGUGGCGGCUCCCGCUGCAGCUCGGAGGACCGGCGGGUCCCGUAGCUUCCGCUGCAACUCGGAGCUGCAGAUGGUGCGCUCGUUGCUGCAGCUCGUACUGCUUCAAUCAUGGAGUUGAUGGCUAGGUGGCCGGCGGUGGAUCUGCCUCAAGCAACAGAAUCAAUCUAUGAUUUGUGAGUACCUGGUUCCGUUGGGUAAAGCCAUGUAAAGAAAGUAGAUAUGAUUUGUUCCCUGUUAAUUAGUUGCUUCGGUUGGACAGGGCCUUGUAAAGAGAAAAGAUUUGUACGGUAUCAAAUUGUAAAUUAGCCACAGGGGCAACUGUGCCUUUUUGCAUGAAGAGAAAAGGGAUAGAAAUUCGAAAAUGAUUACAGUAAUUGAAAAGGGCAAAUCAUCAAGAGUAAAAUAAAAAUGGGGCAAAUGUUCUAAUCCUAUGUAAAGUGGGGCAAAUCAUCUAAUGCCCAAGUAAAGUGGGGCAUAUCAUCCAAUCUCCCUCUCUCUGGGAGGCAGGUAGAAAUAGAGAGGGAAAUGAAGGAUUGAGAGGGAUGUGGUUGGACCGAGAGGGAAGACGGGAUGACAUAAAGGAGACAACGAAAGAAGAACACACGUCCCUUCUACCUGUCGUUGCUUGAGUGUCGAUUGAGUCUGAAUCUCCCUUUUCUUGCCUACAAAUCCUGUAACGUAGUUCCCUUCUAUCCCUGUAAUCUUACUCAAAACUGAAUUCCUGUAACCUCUGCUGCUCUGUCUGAAUUUUCUGAACAUUUGCUUCUCCUCUUUUGAUUCAGUUCAUACUACUGUUAGUGCCGCUCAUAAUUUUGGUAGAAAUCCUUUCUUUUUAGUUUAACUGUACCUUCUGUUUACUUCCUUCUACUGUGUGAAUCCAGUUCCUAAUUGUUUGGUCAAUCUGUUCAUUCAGUUAUAGUUUUAAAAAAAGUGUCAUGUUUAUUGUGUUCCUACAUGCACUUGUUCUGAACCUUACCUACUGCUGUUUUAUUUUAAAUUUUUUCAGUUUUGUCAGAGUUCUGUUUCGAUUGGCUGAGAAAUUGCAAGAUCUGCAUCUUCCUAUGCUUGCCUUUAAUUUCCUUGUUGCUUAUUCCACUAGCUACAGAAAUAGUUUUGCAUUUGUAGGAGAGAUCUUUCACCCUGUUUCAGAGUAGCUUGGCUUUAGGAAAUUGCAUUGCAUUUGUACUUAAAUCCCUGUGGAGAACUUCGACAUACUGUACUCUUCAGCGACCAAUAGCACAACUACAUAUCUGUAUUGUAAUCAAAAGGGUUUUCAAAUAAUAUGUAUUUCGCAUAAAAUUGCUUCAAACAUUUUGAAUUGCUCAUUUACUAAUAAUAGGCGAAAAGGGACUUCAUGUUUGGACAUUCCCAACAUCCAACUAGGGACUCGGCUUCCUCAUCGGCAUCACGGCGGUCGUCCUCGACUUCGGCCUCAACGGGGACAGGCUCAAGAACAUCGUCGUGCACAAGGUCAUCGGCUUCUCCAUCCUGUCCAUGGCAUGCCUCCAGAAUGGCAUGUGCUGUAUGGGAACACAAGCCUGGAAAACUCCUCUCCCGAUGCGGAGCAGUCCACGGCGCUGUCAUCGUCGUCCUGACUCCUUGGCCGCUGCCGCUCCCAAGCGAGAAGACAAGCUUGGCUUGUGGCGGUGGCGGGUAUUACUGGAGUGGAGGCACAUUUUGUUUUCCGUUCUCGUCAUUCUUGGAAAGGCACAACAUGUACGAGGAGGAAGCCAUGAGAACUACCAGAGUGGAGAUGGGGAUGCGCGGCGAGCUGUGGGACGACUCGGCGCUGGUCGACUGCUUGGACCACGCCGUGCCACCUACAAGGCAUGCCGCAGGAAGGAUGGUAUGGAACUGACAGAUGAUCAGGUUAUGGUUGGUUGCGUCUAGAUGUGGUGAAUGGGUUUCCUGGAACCAAUAGAUGGAGCGGUGCUAGGACUGGAACCAAAUGAUAGUGAAGGACUACAACCAGUAUGUCAUGAGCAAUCUAGCACGAGGUUACUCAUGGAAAGAUACGGGUGUGAGCUAUGUUAAGGACAAACAAUUGCAACUGAAUAUGAAGAUAAAUAAACUUCAGCGAGACUGUGAAGGUACAACAAGAAGAGGCAACAAGCCAUGGAGGUUCUCAGUGCAAAUCAUACUUGCGAGCAAUCUACAGAUCUAGGCCUGAUGAUUAUCAGUUGUGUUGAGAUCCUUGUGUGCUAUGUAGUUGCAAAUGGUUGCAAAGACGGCUGGGAUAGACCAUGAAGAGUGGCUUGCGAAUGCGGAUCGCUGGGUGGCUAACUUCUUGGAGAAGUUCGCGGAGCACUGCCUUGUGAUGGAGACUGCCAUCAAGGACCGGAUACGGAGAGCGAAAUGCAGUGGGGUGCCAUUGGUAGUGGUGGUGGUGGUGUGAACAAACACCGAGCAAGUGACAAGUUGUUAUAGUUGUGCUUGUGUCAUGGAAUGUGAUGCUUGUGCGAGUUAAGUGGGUGAGUUAGCUGAGCCAAACCUUUGUAUUAGGGUCGCACUAACUGCCACCGUGUGGCAGAAAGGGAGACGCACCACACGUCUUUAAUGUAAAUAGAUUACCAUGUCA